GACGAACGCUGGCGGCGCGCUUAACACAUGCAAGUCGAACGGAAAGGCCUGCUUUCCCUUGUGGAUUGCGGGUACUCGAGUGGCGAACGGGUGAGUAACACGUGAGUGAUCUGCCCCCAACUUGGGUAUAAGCCUGGGAAACUGGGUCUAAUUCCCGAUAGGACUGCAGGGUGGUGCCUGUGGUGGAACACGAUUUUCUAGUGGUUGGGGAUGAGCUCGCGGCCUAUCAGCUUGUUGGUGGGGUAAUGGCCUACCAAGGCGGCGACGGGUAGCCGGCCUGAGAGGGUGGACGGCCACAUUGGGACUGAGAUACGGCCCAGACUCCUACGGGAGGCAGCAGUGGGGAAUAGUGCACAAUGGGCGGAAGCCUGAUGCAGCGACGCCGCGUGGGGGAUGACGGCCUUCGGGUGGUAAACUCCUUUCGACCGCGAGGAAGCCACCUGGUUGGAAGGGUGGUGACGGUAGUGGUAGAAGAAGCACCGGCUAACUACGUG
rnacentral:rRNA from 1 species